ACACUGGGUAUACUUAGUACGGCGAGUGAAGCGGUAAAAGCUCAAAUUUGAAAUCUGGUACUUUCAGUGCCCGAGUUGUAAUUUGUAGAAUUUGUCUUUGAUUAGGUCCUUGUCUAUGUUCCUUGGAACAGGACGUCAUAGAGGGUGAGAAUCCCGUUUGGCGAGGAUACCUUUUCUCUGUAAGACUUUUUCGAAGAGUCGAGUUGUUUGGGAAUGCAGCUCAAAGUGGGUGGUAAAUUCCAUCUAAAGCUAAAUAUUGGCGAGAGACCGAUAGCGAACAAGUACAGUGAUGGAAAGAUGAAAAGAACUUUGAAAAGAGAGUGAAAAAGUACGUGAAAUUGUUGAAAGGGAAGGGCAUUUGAUCAGACAUGGUGUUUUUUGCAUGCACUCGCCUCUCGUGGGCUUGGGCCUCUCAAAAAUUUCACUGGGCCAACAUCAAUUCUGGCAGCAGGAUAAAUCAUUAAGAAUGUAGCUACUUCGGUAGUGUUAUAGCUUUUUGGAAUACUGUUAGCCGGGAUUGAGGACUGCGCUUCGGCAAGGAUGUUGGCAUAAUGGUUAAAUGCCGCCCGUCUUGAACCACGGACCCAA
rnacentral:rRNA from 1 species